GUCACUCCUGUGUCCUGUCCCUAUAUUAUAAAUAUUCCAUUUUAAAUAGUGAAUUUUCUUUGUCACGCGCCAAUGAACAAUGUGUGUUUCACGAAGAAGAGCCUGAAUCGGGAGAAGAAACGUCCGAAAUCCAAAUUGAAGCUUCAACGACCAUAAACCCUUUUCGUUUGGUCCCAAGUGGAGCAUCAUCGGCUGUUUUUUCCAUCAAAAUCCGACUUCCGUUGUCCAUACUAUGGACUUAGAGGCUGGAGCUGCUACAAUAGAUUGUUCUGCUGAAAGCCAGUUAGUUACAUGUGAGGAUAAUGUGGUUAGGGAGCCAUUUAUUGGAAUGGAGUUCGAAUCAGAAGAUGCUGCCAAAGGAUUUUAUGAUGACUAUGCUAAGCGUGUUGGGUUUAUCAUGCGCAUUGAUCAAUGCCGGCGUUCAGAAGUCGACAAGAGAAUCCUUUCACGGCGACUUUCAUGUAACAAGCAAGGCUAUUACGUGAAAAUGAAAAACCAUUAUGGACCACCUAGAAAAACACGCACUAGCACACGAGAAGGGUGCAAGGCAAUGAUGUUGGUAAAGGUUAACAAGUCUGAUAAGUGGGUUGUGACGAGAUUCGUGAAGGAGCAUACCCAUCCAUUGAUUUCUUCUGGAUGUUCUUCUCAUAAUGCAAUGGCACAUCUUAAUGGUGAUUAUAAGAUGCAGCUCUCUGUCGAUAAGAUUUGAGUGGCAUCGUAAGGAUGGAAAGCUUUGCAGACCACAAAAUGGCAAGAUUGGUGCUUAACCUCUACCAUCUAUACAUUCAAACACCCCAUACAGUUCCGUCCAACUUGGAGUCCUAAGAUCAUAGAAUGGUUAGCUUCAAACUGAAAAUACCUUGAUUCACAAUCUCGGGAAAGCAUAUUUUCAUCAUCUGACUUGGCUGUAGGGGCAAAAAAAGGAGGAAAAAUAUGUAUCCUUCCAUGGAUGAGCUAUAGUGUCAAGAUGUUGCGCGGACUCUCCAAAAUGAUGCCGCACCCGUGUCGGAUCCUCCGGAAAUACACUAUUUUCGAGGAUCCGACACGCACCCUGCAACAUUUUCGGAGAGUUCGGGCAACAUAGGUGUCAAGAGCAUAAUCCAAGCAGCUUCAUUGCUUUUGAUUAGUUCUGCUGAGUUCAAAAUAUAAAUGUUGAGGAUAAAAAGGACAGGAGGAUCCUAGAACUGUCCAUGGAGUUGGAGCAUCAGGAUAAAUUAUGUGACCUUUACAGAGAGCAGCUAAUUACUCUUUUGGAAAAUGUUGAGCAGCAGAUGGAGCUUUUGUCAAAGAAAAUUGAAGUAGCUGUCAACAAUGUAAAAGAAAUAGAAGCAGAAGUUCAAAAGCCACCCAAUAACCAGUAGCCAUGUGUAAGUAUUUAGAUGUUAUGGUGUUAUCCUUUUGUAGCUUGACAAAACAUUUGAUUAGCGUAAUCUGCCCAUAUUGGAAAAGUGGAGAACAAGAAGGAGAAACUGGAAAAGACAAGUUUUGCCGGCAUGUUAUGUCACGUUUUGUUCAUCUAACGUCACUGAAAUUUAUUUCACAGUAUUAUGUAGCUUCUUGCUUGCUAGUUCAGAUUUAUAUUGUAUAAACUCAAAUGAUUUGGUGGAAGCUGAUGGAAUCCGCCUGCUACUAGUCCCGAGAAUGUUAACUGCUCUUUAUUUGGUCAAAUGCAGCUGAAGCAGUCUUAGUUUUUAGCUUACGAGCAAUUGUAAAAGAACACGGACAGUGCAUCAAGCAGAGGUUAGGAGAUUGUUGACGCAUAAUUGCGGUAGUUUACAGUGCUUAAACUAGCUUUGGAGUAUAUUGACAUAUAGUUGUGUAAUUUAAAUUGCUUAAACUAGCUUUGGAGAUUAUUGGUGUUUAGUAUACGUAUAUGUAAAGUUGGUCAGUGAUGGGUGCAGAGCAUGAUUUAUAAGUUUGUGGCCUUGUGGGUAAAUAGCUUAGCGUACAUAUUCGUAUAAUCGUAUGCUAUGGGAAUUGACAGGGUUCUUAAAGACUUCAAUCA